UCGAGGUGCUGCAAUUCGCGACCGGAAACUCAUAAAAAGCGGAGCUCGGCCACUCGAAUAAGACGGGAAUCAUACCGUUCAGCCAUUUGCUAGAGUUCCGGCGCGCUAAAUCGAAGGUUUCGAGCAUAGUCAGCGCCUGGCGUUGGAGGAUCUUUUUUAAGAGAAGCGAUUUAUCGACGUUUUAGGAACUAACAUCGAGAAAGGUUUUCGAGAUCCAUUACAGAAUCAUGUGUUGUGUUACACAGGCGUUGCAAUGUCUGGUCCAAGAAUAUCCUUCAGCAUCAAUCUGCAUAAGUACAACUGAACUGCGUCUCUGAAAAAUAUUUGAAAUUCUCGGAUUCCUGUCUGGUCUUUUUACAUGGAUGUCUUUUAGUGACAAAACAAAAAUGAAAAACUGAAAAGUUAGGAUCUGGAGGGGUAGGGACUUGGAUUGAUCCAAGAUAUUUCCGUCGGCCUGCAACGCAAAUUAUAGAUCUGGAGGAUCUGUAAUAAGCGUACAAAUGCAGUAGGAUCUAGAGGAUUAGCGUACAAAUGCAAUAGG